rnacentral:tRNA from 1 species
GGAAGCGUCGCCUAAUUGGUAUGGCUCUGCUCCGCUAAGGCAGCGGGUGAAAACCUGUGUGAGUUCGAGUCUCACCGCUUCCGCCA